AAGAAAAGAGAGCUAGCGGCUAGCCUCUAAGGGCUACACCCAAUCAACACCUUCUCUUUUGGCAGUAGUACCGGAUAAAAAGGAGAUAUAGGUGCAAGUGAACGAAUAGAAAAUAGGAAGAAAAAAAAAACCAACAUGGAAUCCUUAGCUAGAGAUCAAUUCUAGAUGGCCGAGUGUUUUCUUUUACCCGUACAUCACGAUUUGAUCACUGAAAGAAGGAACGUGUUAGCAUCGCAUGCCUUCGGUUAUUAGGCUGGGUUUGACAUUAGCCCCUGGGCCUUUUAAACCAACAGAGCCCAAUAAGAGUCCACAAGGGUCCAUUCUUGUAGGGAUGCGAUAUGGACCGUCCGAUCAAAGAGCCUUCCGAUCCGGUG
rnacentral:lncRNA from 1 species